ensembl:lncRNA
CUAAAGUGAGUGCUUCAGACUGUCAGAAGUGGUCUGUUGACAUGAAGACAUCUGGACACAGGAACUCUGAGCCCUUGGCCUGGGGGCAGGAUUCAGAGGGAGGCACAUGGACUGGCAUGGAUGGGAGAAUUAAGACUGACCUGAACCCAUUGAGCUUUCCCAUGCUUGGAUUAAAACAAUCAGCUGGAGAACCUGUGACUCAGGCUUCUGCUGACAUAGGAAAAUGGGACCGCAUAGCCACUGUUGACGAGUGGUCUGGAUUCAGUAAGACUAAGUAGUAACUUAAAGUAAAUAACUGCACAUGAUUUGCUCAGCACAUGGUUUGAUCAAUAUAGCCAUCACAAAUGCAUGCAUAAGUUUUCUCCAUACAAAUUUACCAAUUUGUUUUAGACAGUAUAUGUAAUGAACUGAUAUGAUUUCAGAUGGUUUAGGAGCUGUGGAUCCAAGUUCGGACUGGAAUGCCCCAGCUGAGCUGUGGGGGAACUAUGAAGAACCUAAAGCAGAGACGCUUGUUCCCAAAGAGACACCUGUAUCCCAGCCAUCCAGGUUACAGGAGUCCGAUGAUGAUGAUGAUGAUAAAGAGAAGGAAGAUCCUUCUGGAAGUAGCAAGUCCAAAAGAAAAAAGAAAAAGAAGAAGAAGCCAGAGGAUGAAAAUGUAUUGUCCCAUGUAAGACUUUACUUAGCAAUGCUUAUUGCUGUAGUAUUAAAAAAGUUAUCAAAUUAA